GGCGGACGGGUGAGUAACACGUGGAUAACCUACCUAUAAGACUGGGAUAACUUCGGGAAACCGGAGCUAAUACCGGAUAAUAUAUUGAACCGCAUGGUUCAAUAGUGAAAGACGGUUUUGCUGUCACUUAUAGAUGGAUCCGCGCCGCAUUAGCUAGUUGGUAAGGUAACGGCUUACCAAGGCAACGAUGCGUAGCCGACCUGAGAGGGUGAUCGGCCACACUGGAACUGAGACACGGUCCAGACUCCUACGGGAGGCAGCAGUAGGGAAUCUUCCGCAAUGGGCGAAAGCCUGACGGAGCAACGCCGCGUGAGUGAUGAAGGUCUUCGGAUCGUAAAACUCUGUUAUUAGGGAAGAACAAAUGUGUAAGUAACUAUGCACGUCUUGACGGUACCUAAUCAGAAAGCCACGGCUAACUACGUGCCAGCAGCCGCGGUAAUACGUAGGUGGCAAGCGUUAUCCGGAAUUAUUGGGCGUAAAGCGCGCGUAGGCGGUUUUUUAAGUCUGAUGUGAAAGCCCACGGCUCAACCGUGGAGGGUCAUUGGAAACUGGAAAACUUGAGUGCAGAAGAGGAAAGUGGAAUUCCAUGUGUAGCGGUGAAAUGCGCAGAGAUAUGGAGGAACACCAGUGGCGAAGGCGACUUUCUGGUCUGUAACUGACGCUGAUGUGCGAAAGCGUGGGGAUCAAACAGGAUUAGAUACCCUGGUAGUCCACGCCGUAAACGAUGAGUGCUAAGUGUUAGGGGGUUUCCGCCCCUUAGUGCUGCAGCUAACGCAUUAAGCACUCCGCCUGGGGAGUACGACGCCAGGUU
rnacentral:rRNA from 1 species